rnacentral:rRNA from 1 species
CACACGACUCUCGGCAACGGAUAUCUCGGCUCUCGCAUCGAUGAAGAACGUAGCGAAAUGCAAUACCUGGUGUGAAUUGCAGAAUCCCGCGAACCAUCGAGUCUUUGAACGCAAGUUGCGCCCGAGGCCACUCGGCCGAGGGCACGCCUGCCUGGGCGUCACGC